ACCCACUUGAGAUCACACAUCUGAUAAGAGGUAGAGCCAGGAUUCAAGUAGAGGCAGGACCCCAGAGAUGACGUGCUCCAGGCUGGUCAUGCUUGUCCCCUACCUCCACAGAGAGAGGACAGAGAGAAUUCACAGCUGACCUCGAUUUCGUGCAAGGAGGGCAUUUGGACUCAGAACAUUCACUGCCUCAGGGGACAGACGACCCACCAGAAGUUAGAAGUUGGUUCUUGUCUUCUGAGUG
rnacentral:lncRNA from 1 species